GCCGCCGCCACCCCCUCCCGCCCUGUUCUCUCUUUGGUCGGGCCGGGCCCGGCCGGUUCCACGAGCGCCCGGCAGAGACUGAGGGAGAGAGAGAGAAAGAGGAGGGGAGGAGGAGGAGGAUUCAGGGAAUAGGAGCUGGGGAGCCCUUCUGCGCCACAGAAAAUUUCCAAAGACUUGGUGAAGAUAGGAAAACUAUCAGAAAGGCAGUGGCACCAUUAUCCUGUAGUCACUUUUUUU
rnacentral:lncRNA from 1 species